UCCAGAAACAAGAAACCAGAA
rnacentral:piRNA from 1 species